rnacentral:rRNA from 1 species
UGGGGAAUAUUGGGCAAUGGGGGAAACCCUGACCCAGCAACGCCGCGUGAAGGAUGAAGUAUUUCGGUAUGUAAACUUCGAAAGAAUAGGAAGAAUAAAUGACGGUACUAUUUAUAAGGUCCGGCUAACUACGUGCCAGCAGCCGCGGUAAUACGUAGGGACCAAGCGUUGUUCGGAUUUACUGGGCGUAAAGGGCGCGUAGGCGGCAUGACAAGUCACUUGUGAAAUCUCUGGGCUUAACCCAGAACGGCCAAGUGAUACUGUCGCGCUAGAGUGCAGAAGGGGCAAUCGGAAUUCUUGGUGUAGCGGUGAAAUGCGUAGAUAUCAAGAGGAACACCUGAGGUGAAGACGGGUUGCUGGACUGACACUGACGCUGAGGCGCGAAAGCAAGAGUAUCAAACAGGAUUAGAUACCCUCGUAGUCCCUGAGCGGGCUGGCAAGGCGCAU